rnacentral:rRNA from 1 species
GACGAACGCUGGCGGCGUGCCUAGUACAUGCAAGUCGAGCGAAGUUUUUCUGGUGCUUGCACUAGAAAAACUUAGCGGCGAACGGGUGAGUAACACGUAAAGAACCUGCCUCAUAGACUGGGACAACUAUUUGAAACGAUAGCUAAUACCGGAUAACAGUAUUUCUCGCAUGAGAGAUAUUUAAAAGUUGGUUAUGCUAACACUAUGAGAUGGCUUUGCGGUGCAUUAGCUAGUUGGUGGGGUAAAGGCCCACCAAGGCGACGAUGCAUAGCCGACCUGAGAGGGUGAUCGGCCACACUGGGACUGAGACACGGCCCAGACUCCUACGGGAGGCAGCAGUAGGGAAUCUUCCGCAAUGGGCGAAAGCCUGACGGAGCAACGCCGCGUGAGUGAAGAAGGAUUUCGGUUCGUAAAGCUCUGUUGUUAGGGAAGAAUGGAUAUGUAGUAACUAUACAUGUAAGAGACGGUACCUAACCAGAAAGCCACGGCUAACUACGUG